GGAGAAAAUUAUCGUAAAUAGCCCUCAACUUUUUAAAAGUAUCUAAAAAAUCCCUCAAACCUUUACAAUUUCGUUAAAAAAACCCAGCCCCCGUGUGGCAACGAAUGCUGUUGUUUCAGCUUCCUUGAGAGAAAUAUCUCUUUCGAGAUGGCGUCCAUGGCGAUCGGCGUGAGCUUGUCGAUGAGUAACGGCAUAGGAAGAAGAGACGACGUUGCUCGAUUAUCAGCGAAGGCACUGAAGCUGAAUCAGAAGAAGAACUCACAGAGUGAGAGUAGAAACAUGAUUUUGGGUAUGAACAGACGCCUUGCCUCCAGAGCAAGACGAACCGUCUCGAAGUCGGUCCUCGUAGACGGAGAGGGGGAGGAGAAGGGCCAGACGAAUCUGAGAGUUGGACUCAUCUGCGGAGGACCGUCGGCUGAGCGGGGGAUUUCUCUCAAUUCAGCUCGAUCAGUUCUCGAUCACAUUCAGGGUAACGGUAUAAGCGUGAGCUGCUACUACAUAGAUGCUCAUCUCAAAUCCUUCGCAAUUUCCUCCGCUCAGCUGUACUCGAAUACUCCCGCAGAUUUUGAUUUCAAGCUCGAGAGUCUUGCACAGGGAUUCUCUUCGUUAUCAGACUUGGCUGAGCAUCUUGUUUCCGCUGUGGACAUUGUCUUCCCUGUUAUUCAUGGUCGAUUUGGUGAAGAUGGGGGCAUUCAGGAGCUGUUGGAGAGUCACAACAUUCCAUUUGUUGGGACUGGAUCCAGUGAAUGCCGUCGAGCCUUUGACAAGUAUGAAGCUUCUUUGGAGCUCAAAGAACAUGGGUUCAUGUCAGUACCAAACUACUUGGUGCAGGGAAUCGGAGUAGACGAGAGUGAAAUAGAACAAUGGUUUACAGAUAACCGGCUGGACCUUGAUGUGGGAAAAGUGGUGGUAAAACCAGCCAGAGCAGGGUCAAGCAUUGGUGUCAAGGUUGCUUUUGGCGUAAAUGAUUCAAUCAAGAAGGCUGUUGAACUUAUUCUAGAGGGAAUUGAUGAUAGGAUUGUUGUUGAGGUGUUUAUUGAAAAUGGACAUGAGUUCACUGCCAUCGUCCUGGAUGUGGGUUCUGGUUCUGAUUCCCGUCCUGUUGUGCUGUUACCCUCUGAGGUGCAACUUCAGUUCCAUGGCAGUGGUGAUCCGGAGGAAGACGCCAUCUUCGACUAUCGGAGGAAGUAUCUGCCGACACAACAGGUCACCUAUCACACUCCACCUCGUUUCCCUAUCCAUGUUAACAAAAGUAUCCGUGAAGAGGCAUCUCUUCUAUUUCAAAAACUAGGUCUUCGCGACUUUGCUCGCAUUGAUGGAUGGUAUUUGGCUCCCACUUCAAAUAUAUCACCAGCUCCAAAUGAAACGUCUAGAGGACGCAUGUCAGCGGAUAUUAUUUUCACAGACAUCAACCUGAUAAGUGGCAUGGAGCAAAAUAGCUUUCUCUUCCAGCAGGCUUCUAAGGUUGGGUUUUCUCAUUCAAACAUUUUGCGAACCAUCCUACACCGAGCUAGCUCAAGGCUUCCGCAUCUUACUUGGCAUAAUUAUGAGUCUAAUCAUUUGCUUCGAGGUUCAACAACCCUGGAAAACUCCGGGGACGUCCAGAAAGUGUUUGUAAUGUUUGGAGGAGACACUUCAGAGCGGCAGGUCUCUGUCAUGAGCGGAACAAAUGUCUGGAUGAAUCUGCAAAGAUUUGCUGAUCUGAAAGUAACUCCCUGCUUGCUUUCCCCAUCACUUAGCAACUCAUCUAGUGAAUUUCCCGACAAAACCGAAUCUGAUUUGGACAACAGAGAAGUCUGGUUAUUACCGUACUCUGUUGUGUUAAGGCACACUGCUGAGGAAAUUCUUGCGGAGUGCUUGGAAGCAAUCGAGCCUGAUCGGGCUCGGUUUACAUCUCGGCUGCAAAAGCAAGUGAUGGAGGAUCUUAUGGAUGGUUUGAAGAAUCAGAGCUGGUUUGGAGGGUUUGAUAUAAUAGACGAACUGCCAAUUAAAUAUUCGUUGAGAGAGUGGAUCAAGCUUGCCAGUGAAGCUCAAGCAACUGUCUUCAUUGCAGUGCAUGGAGGAAUUGGGGAAGAUGGUACACUGCAAGCCUUACUGGAGGAUGAAGGAGUUGCUUACACAGGUCCAGGCGUACGAGCUUCAAGAACUUGCAUGGACAAGAUUAUUACAUCUCAGGCUCUUAGUCACCUUUCAGAGUUUGGAGUUCAUACCAUAAGUAAAGACGUGAAGAGAACAGAGGAUAUUAUGCAUGAGACCAUCUCAAACAUUUGGGAUGAAUUGAUCACCAAGCUUCGGUGUCUGACAUUCUGUGUUAAGCCAGCAAGGGAUGGAUGCUCUACUGGUGUUGCAAGAUUAUGUUCCUCUGAAGACCUUACUGUAUAUGUACAAGCUUUAAAAGAUUGUCUACCAAGGAUUCCUCCAAACACUUUGUCUAAGACACAUGGAAUGAUUGAGAUGCCAAAUACUACUCCUGAGUACUUGAUUUUUGAACCAUUUGUUGAGACCGAUGAAAUCGUAGUUUCAUCCAAGGCCAAGCAGAAGCUCUCUUGGAAAGGUACGAGGCGGUGGGUAGAGAUAACAGUGGGAGUAAUCGGAAAACGUGGGUCAAUGCGUUCACUGAAUCCGAGUCUUACUGUCAAGGAAAGUGGUGAUAUAUUAUCACUCGAGGAGAAGUUCCAGGGCGGCACUGGCAUAAACCUGACUCCACCUCCUCCAACAAUCAUGAGUAAGGACGCUUUGGAAAGGUGCAAACAAGGCAUUGAGCUGAUUGCGGAAACUCUUGGUCUAGAGGGGUUUUCACGUAUAGAUGCUUUUGUGCACGUUGAAACCGGAGAGGUGCUGGUUAUAGAGGUGAACACAGUUCCUGGAAUGACUCCUUCCACUGUAUUAAUCCAACAGGCAUUAGCAGAGCAGCCACCAAUGUACCCUCCUCAAUUCUUUCGCAAAUUGCUCCAUCUUGCUACACAGAGAGUUUGAGUGACUCAGUUUGAAUUUCCAUAGAGGUUUUGAUUAAAGAUUCGGUUGAAUCGAACAUGGCUAGGGCCUUGGGAGUUUUGGGACCACUAAUGUAAGCUCAUGGAAGGAGGACCAUCAUCUUUGUGCUAUCUUUAAUUACUUCUAACGACAACAACGUACGAAUCCCCACACUCUUUCUCUGGAGUUUUAAUGCACUGUGAUCUAACUCAGACCAUCAAAAUCCACCGCCCAAUAUCAGUCCAAUACUUCCGUUGUUUAUUGACAUAUUAAGACAAGUCUACUCUGUAUCCGAAUUUAUACACGAUCCGUUCUGUUCUGAUUGGUAAAUAUUGAUUAAUCGCAAAAUCACUGAAAAAUUAA